AUCACACAGUAUUGCUAUUGUCCAGGGGUUGGAGUCUGAGGCUGAGGCUGAAUCGGAAAGUUGGUUUUAGUAUCCCAGCAAGGCCAGGGAAAAUAAAUUCCCGAGCGAGAAUAUGGCUCGACGUCAAGCAGCUGGAGAACCGGCCCGUGAACAGGAUCCAGGGGCAGAUUAUUUGGACAAAUGAAAUUAUACCAUGAAGUACUUGUAAUUGACAAUAUUAUACAAAUAAUGUCAGAAUGAAGUACUGACAUAUGCUACAACGUGGAAGAACCCUGGAAACAUGAUCAUCAAUGUCAGAGAUGAGUUUUUCUUGUCCUUCACUUGGAUGA
rnacentral:lncRNA from 10 species